rnacentral:Y_RNA from 1 species
GGCUGUUCUGAUGGUAGUGGGUUAUCGGAACUUACUAAUGUUAGUGCCACUAAAGUUGGUAUACGACCCCUCACUGCUAAAUUUGACUGGCUUUAA